CGCGGCCUAUCAGCUUGUUGGUGGGGUAACGGCCUACCAAGGCAACGACGGGUAGCUGGUCUGAGAGGACGAUCAGCCACACUGGGACUGAGACACGGCCCAGACUCCUACGGGAGGCAGCAGUAGGGAAUCUUGCGCAAUGGGCGAAAGCCUGACGCAGCGACGCCGCGCGCGGGAUGAAGGCCUUCGGGUCGUAAACCGCUUUCAGCAGGGCCGAAAUUGACGGUACCUGCAGAAGAAGGCCCGGCCAACUACGUGCCAGCAGCCGCGGUGAUACGUAGGGGUCUAGCGUUGUCCGGAAUCAUUGGGCGUAAAGAGCUCGUAGGCGGUUCGGCAAGUCGGAUGUGAAAUCUCCACGCUCAACGUGGAGGGGCCAUUCGAAACUGCCGUGACUCGAGUCCGGUAGGGGAGUUCGGAAUUCCCGGUGUAGCGGUGAAAUGCGCAGAUAUCGGGAGGAACACUAGUGGCGAAGGCGGAACUCUGGGCCGGAACUGACGCUGAGGAGCGAAAGCGUGGGGAGCGAACAGGAUUAGAUACCCUGGUAGUCCACGCCGUAAACGUUGGGCACUAGGUGUGGGACUCUAUCGACGGGUUCCGUGCCGUAGCUAACGCAUUAAGUGCCCCGCCUGGGGAGUAC
rnacentral:rRNA from 1 species